AUUGAACGCUGGCGGCAGGCCUACACAUGCAAGUCGAACGGUAACAGGGAUCAGCUUGCUGAUUCGCUGACGAGUGGCGGACGGGUGAGUAAUGUCUGGGAAACUGCCUGAUGGAGGGGGAUAACUACUGGAAACGGUAGCUAAUACCGCAUAACGUCGCAAGACCAAGGAGGGGGACCUUCGGGCCUCUUGCCAUCGGAUGUGCCCAGAUGGGAUUAGCUAGUAGGUGGGGUAACGGCUCACCUAGGCGACGAUCCCUAGCUGGUCUGAGAGGAUGACCAGCCACACUGGAACUGAGACACGGUCCAGACUCCUACGGGAGGCAGCAGUGGGGAAUAUUGCACAAUGGGCGCAAGCCUGAUGCAGCCAUGCCGCGUGUAUGAAGAAGGCCUUCGGGUUGUAAAGUACUUUCAGCGGGGAGGAAGGGAGUAAAGUUAAUACCUUUGCUCAUUGACGUUACCCGCAGAAGAAGCACCGGCUAACUCCGUG
rnacentral:rRNA from 1 species